GUACGGGGGGUGCAAGCGUUAAUCGGAAUUACUGGGCGUAAAGCGCGCGUAGGCGGUCUAUUAAGUCAGAUGUGAAAUCCCAGGGCUCAACCUUGGAACUGCAUCUGAUACUGGUAGACUAGAGUUUUGGAGAGGGAAGUAGAAUUUCAGGUGUAGCGGUGAAAUGCAUAGAGAUCUGAAGGAAUACCAGUGGCGAAGGCGACUUCCUGGCCAAAAACUGACGCUGAGGUGCGAAAGCGUGGGUAGCAAACGGGAUUAGAAACCCCAGUAGUCC
rnacentral:rRNA from 1 species